rnacentral:rRNA from 1 species
AGUGAACGCUGGCGGUAGGCCUAACACAUGCAAGUCGAACGGCAGCACAGUAAGAGCUUGCUCUUACGGGUGGCGAGUGGCGGACGGGUGAGGAAUACAUCGGAAUCUACUUUUUCGUGGAGGAUAACGUAGGGAAACUUACGCUAAUACCGCAUACGACCUACGGGUGAAAGCAGGGGAUCUUCGGACCUUGCGCGAUUGAAUGAGCCGAUGUCGGAUUAGCUAGUUGGCGGGGUAAAGGCCCACCAAGGCGACGAUCCGUAGCUGGUCUGAGAGGAUGAUCAGCCACACUGGAACUGAGACACGGUCCAGACUCCUACGGGAGGCGGCAGUGGGGAAUAUUGGACAAUGGGCGCAAGCCUGAUCCAGCCAUACCGCGUGGGUGAAGAAGGCCUUCGGGUUGUAAAGCCCUUUUGUUGGGAAAGAAAAGCAGCAGGUUAAUACCCCGCUGUUCUGACGGUACCCAAAGAAUAAGCACCGGCUAACUUCGUG